rnacentral:rRNA from 1 species
UACGUAGGGGGCAAGCGUUGUCCGGAUUUACUGGGCGUAAAGAGCGCGUAGGCGGACGCUUAAGUGUGGCCUGAAAGCCCCCGGCUCAACCGGGGAAGGUGGCUGCAAACUAGGCGUCUUGAGGGCGAUAGAGGAGAGUGGAAUUCCUGGUGUAGCGGUGAAAUGCGCAGAUAUCAGGAGGAACACCGGUGGCGAAGGCGGCUCUCUGGAACGGUACUGACGCUGAGACGCGAAAGCGUGGGGAGCGAACAGG